GGUAGCGGUGGGCAAGCAGGUUGGUGUAAACGGGGGGUGCAAGCGUUAUCCGGGUGGUCUGGGUUUAAAGGGGUGGUAGGCGGGUAAUUAAGUCCGAGGUGAAAUCUCUGAGCUCAACUCAGAAACUGCCUUGGAUACUAGUUAUCUUGAAUAUCGUUUAGGUAGGCGGAAUAUGUCAUGUAGCGGUGAAAUGCAUAGAUAUGACAUAGAACACCAAUUGCGAAGGCAGCUUGCUAAACGAUGAUUGACGCUGAGGCACGAAAGCGUGGGGAUCAAACAGGAUUAGAUACUCCUGUAGUC
rnacentral:rRNA from 1 species